rnacentral:lncRNA from 1 species
AAAAGAUGAUAAAAAAAAGAACCACAGACUCAAAACAUAAUAACUAAAAAAAAUCUCCUUAAUCAAACUCCUGAAUGAUCGACCCUGACUGGAUGGUUCUACGGCAUCUGUCAUGCGCAAACUCCGGUAAGUAGAUCCACUUGUAUGAGAAAAUUAAGACCAAAUAAAGUUAAAGACAUAGAACGCUAUGUGAGACAACAACCCUUCCUGUUGGACACAUGCAAGACAUGAUUGUGACUAUUUUUCUAAAAUUAACCUAUGUGGCUAAAAGUGGCUAAAAAUGCAAGAUUUGGCUAAGACCCCGCGAAGCCAAGAACCUAAGACUCACUAGGAAGACUGGACCCUAUGUGGGUUGCCUACGUAUCACGCUCUAAUAAACGAGAAUCAGGUUCGCAUAGUUCGGGAAGAUUGGAUACGAGCGAGAAUUAAAAAAUAACUAAUUUAGAGAAAAAUAUAUUUUUUGUCUUUUGUUUUGAAAAAUGAUGAAACAUGUAAACUCUUUUUGGAUUUUGUUUCCUCUUUUUUUUUGAAUUUCGGAAAAUGAUGAAAAGUGCAAAAAAAAAUUUAAAUUUUUAUUUUAUUUUUUUGUCUUAAUAAAAAUGUGACAGAAAAGAUAAGUGGGCCCUACUUGUUUUAUUUUCACACUUCACCCUCUUUUUUUUCUUUUUUUCCUUUUUUUUUUCAUUUGCCCUCAACUAUUAUUGGUUUGCCAAAUGAACCUUUUACCUUUGAAGAUUGCAACAUGUAGCACAUUAGGAUGCAUCAAGAUGGUCUUUUAUUUUGUUGAGAACACCUGUCCUAGACGGACCCAACCCCUAUGUUGAGUCCCUAAAGUCAGAUGCACGUGAUGCAAACAAGCAUUCCUACUAGGGAUCCGGUAUGAGGCUAUGUUAUUUUAGGUUUAAACACCUGGUUUUAUUUGUUGUAGACCUAGCUUACUCGAGCGGACAGCUCGAGCCGGGGAGGGGGGGGAGGGGGAAGCGUACCGCGAGUAUAAUAACUUCACCGGCUUUGCAACUUGUCCGAACAUCGUUCUAAAAUUGGGAUACGACUCUAACAGAAGAGAAGUCACACGAAGUGCACACUUCCCAGAAGAUUUAGAAGACUCAGAGAGAGGAGGGUUUCACAACAAUUUAUAUACAGUUCAACAAUAUCAAAGAGGUAAAAAGUAGCAUUUAGCUCAUUAGGUCAAAUCAUGUAAAUAAAACCAGAUAAUAAAUAAAGCCAAAUAUAACAAAAAUUCUAAGCUCAAAUUCUGAAGCCUGAAAUUCCUCAGUAGAGUCGCCAGAGCUGUCACACCUCCUUUUUACCACCCAGAAGGGUAUAAGAGAGUUUUUCCAAUUUAAGUGACAAUCGAAACAUGAUUUAUUUAUUAAAUUUAGAGUCGCCACUUGGGAUAAUUUAUGGUGUCCCAAGUUACCGGUUCAAAUCUCGAAUCGAGGAAAGUUUCACUCUAUUUUAUAGUCAGCGAACACAGAAAUCCGGGCAAGGAAUUAUGUAAACUAGGGAGAAGAUGUUAGGCAUUCCCGGGUUGCGAGAUUCUAGCACGGUCGCUCAACUAUUAUUAUUGGCUUGAUUAUCUGAUUUUAGAACACUUUUAAACCUAUGUGCAUUUUUAACUUUAAAACUGCUUUUAUUUAUUUAAGGAAUUAAUUCAAGGUUAUUUAAAACAAAUCAUAAGCUACGCUACAUGAAAUGCACUCGUGGUUCACGACACACUCUAUUUAGCCUUGUUGGAAAUUGGAGUCGGGUCACAUGAAAUGCACACUCGGGCCCCCUUUUAUCUAAUUUGACGUAGUUCAGUUGAUGAAUAGCAACCAAAUUUCCAUAAUGUGACAAAAUCAUGUCCAGCUAUAACCAAUUUGAGUAAACAUACGAGCAAAUAACUAAGCGACCAAAUUCAAAACUACGGAGAAAACAAUUACACAAACAACGGAAUCAUAACUAAUUGGUGAGCAUCUAAAAGGUUAAUUAUUUUAUUAGCUAAUUUCGACACUACAAGGCCACCAUUAAUUGUGAAAUCACAUAUUCAACAGAACUCUAACAACAAAGUAGUGACAAAAAUCCGAAGUUAAAGGAAAAUUCAGCACAAUAAACAGAGUGAUGUCCCAACGCAGAAAACUAGCAAACAAAAAUCAUCCAAGUCAUAUAAAUUAAAUAACCUAUGAAACGAUCCAAAAAGUUAGCGAGAACAACAAUAUCGGUAAGGAAAAUGAACCUUUAUUGCUUCGUAUUUUCCGCCAUGAACAGUGAAAUAAGAUCUCAAGAACAGCAAAUCAAGACAAACGAAUUAUUGAUCCAAACCUCGACAAAUCCAGCCCCCGGCAGACAAACUCGAAUGGUAAUACCUCAAUCGAACUCCACUGUUUGCAAAACCAACGUUCCGAAAUACAAACUGAAAGAUAAAACAAAAAACUUCUUCUGUUGCUUGGCUUCAACGAUGGUUUCCGGUCUUAUUCAGAAUGAGGAUGAUGAAACGUUAGGUUGCCGCUAAUGGAUUUUCGGCCAGAUCUUGCCAUAGACGACGACGAUGCAGUAGUGACUCCAAGAGAAGAGAGACAGGGAUGUGUUCUAUUGAAGAAGUUUAAGUGAUGGCGGUGGGGAGGGUCGUGUUCUUGGUUUAGCUGAUCUUAGGUCAGCUCCCUAGAGUAUAGGUUAAAAUCCUUUUUCCUUCAGAUCUUAGGCAUAUUUUGGGUUAGCUUUUUGAAGAUCAGAUCGUGGGAGGGGUUUUUCGUUUUUGCUGAAAGCGGCUGAUGCCAAUUCUAGGCCUUUUUUCUUUUCACUCUUCGGCUGAUUUAUUUAUUAGGGGUCUAGGUUUUUGUAUGUUUUUUUUUUACUUUAAGAGGUAUGGAAAUAGGAAUUACGGGCUUGGAAAUUAUGGGCUUGGUCCGGAAAUUAGG